GAAGGACUUGUUUAGCUAAUUGAAUGCAUUCUAACACUCUCUCCCUCUUUGCCUCUUUAGCCAGAAGAUUUUGAGGCUGUUCAUUCCCACACCUUCAAGGCUAAGACCUUUAAAAAGGCCAAGAGUUGUGCAGUAUGCAAGCAGGCUUUGACGAAGGAGGGCCUGGUCUGCAAAGAUCACAUGAUUCUUAAAGUCCCUCCAUGAAAUUGUGAAUGGUGAAGCCUGGGCCUUCAUGCUGGAACCACUCAAGAGUUGUUACAAGCCAUGUUUUUAAGACUGCCAAUGACUUCAGUAUCAGGGGCAGGCUUCAUUCUCUUUCAGGAUCUACUGAGUGCAAGUUGUCCUGCCAUAAGAAAUGUGAGGUAAAGGUAGCCACAGCCUGUGAAUCUACAGCUACUACAACGACUACAACUACUACAACAACUACUACAACUAACUACAAUCAGGUAAGAUCAAUCAGGUAAGAAUCAAACAAACUGCAGAGAAAUCUAAAAAAGAGUUGUUGUUG
rnacentral:lncRNA from 1 species